rnacentral:rRNA from 1 species
GAUGAACGCUGGCGGCGUGCAUAACACAUUCAAGUCGAACGGAAGUGGAAACACUUUAGUGGCGGACGGGUGAGUAACGCGUGAGCAAUCUGCCUUCGUGUGGGGAAUAACAGGGGGAAACCGCUGCUAAUACCUCAUGAUGUAGCGACACCGCAUGGUGAUGCUACCAAAGAUUUAUCGCACGAAGAUGAGCUUGCGUCCGAUUAGGUAGUUGGUGAGGUAACGGCCCACCAAGCCGACGAUCGGUAGCCGAACUGAGAGGUUGAACGGCCACAUUGGAACUGGGAUACGGUCCAGACUCCUACGGGAGGCAGCAGUGGGGAAUAUUGGGCAAUGGGCGAAAGCCUGACCCAGCGACGCCGCGUGAGGGAAGAAGGUCUUCGGAUUGUAAACCUUUGUCAACAGGUACGAAACAAAUGACGGUACCUGUGGAGGAAGCCACGGCUAACUACGUGCCAGCAGCCGCGGUAACAC